rnacentral:rRNA from 1 species
UUAAAGCUUCAACUGGGAUUAGAUACCCCACUAUUCUUGACUGUAAAUCUAAUAAAAUUUACCAGAGCACUAUGAAUAUUAUAAAAAAUUUAAAACUCAAAGGGCUUGGCGGUGUUUUAGACCUAUCAGGGGAACCUGUCUCAUAAUCGACAAUCCACGUUGAACCUAACCCUAUUUUGUAUCCAGUUUGUAUACCGUCGUCGUCAGGUAACUUUUAAAAGAUUAGAAGUUAGCAAUAAAAAUUUUUUAAAUUAAAACGUCAGAUCAAGGUGCAGCUAAUAAUAGGGCGAGGAUGGGUUACAGUUAUUUAAGUUAUAAUUACGGAAAACUACAUGAAACAUAGUUUGAAGGAGGACUUGAAAGUAAAAUAAAAUAUAUAGACAAUUUGAAUAUGGCUCUGAAACGUGCACACACCGCCCGUCACCCUCUGCAGUCAAAAAAUA